rnacentral:rRNA from 1 species
AUUGAACGCUGGCGGCAUGCCUUACACAUGCAAGUCGAACGGUAACAGGUCUUCGGAUGCUGACGAGUGGCGAACGGGUGAGUAAUACAUUGGAACGUGCCUAGUAGUGGGGGAUAACUACUCGAAAGAGUGGCUGAUACCGCAUGAGAUCUACGGAUGAAAGCAGGGGAUCGCAAGACCUUGUGCUACUAGAGCGGCCGAUGGCAGAUUAGGUAGUUGGUGGGAUAAAAGCUUACCAAGCCGACGAUCUGUAGCUGGUCUGAGAGGACGAUCAGCCACACUGGGACUGAGACGCGGCCCCGACUCCUACGGGAGGCAGCAGUGGGGAAUUUUGGACAAUGGGCGCAAGCCUGAUCCAGCAAUGCCGCGUGCAGGAUGAAGGCCUUCGGGUUGUAAACUGCUUUUGUACGGAACGAAAAGCCCCGGGUUAAUACCCUGGGGUCAUGACGGUACCGUAAGAAUAAGCACCGGCUAACUACGUGCCAGCCGCCGCCGUAA